AAUGAACGCUGGCGGCGGGCCUAAUACAUGCAAGUCGAGCGAACGGACGAGGGGCUUGCUUUUCUGAUAUUAGCGGCUGACGGGUUAGUAACACGUUCGUAACCUACCUAGAAGACUGGGAUAACUUCGGGAAACCGUAUCUAAGACCGGGUAAUAUUUUGAACCGCAUGGUUCAAGAGUGAAAAACGGUCUUGCGAUCACUUAUAGAUGGAUCCGCGCUGAAUGAGCUAGUUGGUAAGGUAACGGCUUACCAAGUCAACGAUGGAUAGCCGACCUGAGAGCGUGAUUGACCAGACUGGCACUGAGAAACGGCACCGACUCCUAAGGGAGGAAGCAGUAGGGACUCCUACGCGAAGCGCGAAAGCGUGACGGAGCACAGUCGCGUGAGUGCUGAAGGUCCUAUGCUCGGAAAACGAUGUAAUUAGGGAAGUACAAAUGUGCAAGUAACUGUGAACAUCUUGACGGUACCUAAUCAGAAAGCCACGGCUAACUACGUG
rnacentral:rRNA from 1 species